rnacentral:rRNA from 1 species
UCACAUCCGAGGCCUUGUAAUUGGAAUGAGUACACUUUAAAUCCUUUAACAAGGAUCAAUUGGAGGGCAAGUCUGGUGCCAGCAGCCGCGGUAAUUCCAGCUCCAAUAGCGUAUAUUAAAGUUGUUGCGGUUAAAACGUUCGUAGUUGAACUUGUGUCUCGCACGGGCAGCUACCAUAGGCCAGUUUACUGGUCCGGUAACUUGUCUUAUCUUGUCUUGGCUUUAGUCAUGGCAAAUGUGCGUGGACGUAUUAUCGGCGUGUUCGCUCUUGUAGCGUUCACAUAAGCUCAUUUCAGUGAUCUUUACCGAUUGUUGUUGUGAGCCGAUACAAAUUACUUUGAACAAAUUAGAGUGCUUAAAGCAGGCUUGUAAUGCCUGAAUAUUUUGUGCAUGGAAUAAUGAAAUAGGACAUCUGUUCUACUUUCAUUGGUUUUUUAGACCAAGAUGUAAUGAUUAAUGGAAGCAGUUGGGGGCAUUAGUAUUACAACGCGAGAGGUGAAAUUCUUAGACCGUUGUAAGACUGACUAAAGCGAAAGCAUUUGCCAAAGAUGUUUUCAUUUAAUCAAGAACGAAAGUUAGAGGUUCGAAGGCGAUCAGAUACCGCCCUAGUUCUAACCAUAAACGAUGCCAGCUAGCAAUUGAGUGUAGCUACUACUAUGGCUCUUUCAGUCGCUUCUCGGGAAACCAAAGCUUUUGGGCUCCGGGGGAAGUAUGGUUGCAAAGCUGAAACUUAAAGGAAUUGACGGAAGGGCACCACCAGGAGUGGAGCCUGCGGCUUAAUUUGACUCAACACGGGAAAACUUACCAGGUCCGAACAUAAAUGAGUAAGACAGAUUG